rnacentral:rRNA from 1 species
AGCUUAUCUUGCGCAGCUUAGGUGGGAGGCUAUGAACCUUUUCUUCUGGGAAGAGGGGAGCCAUCAGUGAGAUACCACUCUUGGUAAGCUAGAGCGCUCAGUCUUCACCGUCAUCCGGUAAGACGACAGUUUCAGGCGGGCAGUUUGACUGGGGCAGUCACCUCCCAAAAGGUAAUGGAGGUGUGCAAAGGUUCCCUCAGGCUGGACGGAAAUCAGCCAUAGAGUGUAAAAGCAUAAGGGAGCUUGACUGCGAGACUGACAUGUCAAGCAGAGACGAAAGUCGGCUUUAGUGAUCCGACGGUGCUGAGUGGAAAGGCCGUCGCUCAACGGAUAAAAGUUACUCUAGGGAUAAC